UACGUAGGGUGCAAGCGUUAAUCGGAAUUACUGGGCGUAAAGCGUGCGCAGGCGGUUGUGCAAGACAGAUGUGAAAUCCCCGGGCUUAACCUGGGAAUUGCAUUUGUGACUGCACGGCUAGAGUGUGUCAGAGGGGGUAGAAUUCCACGUGUGGAGCAGUGAAAUGCGUAGAUAUGAUGGAGGAAUACCGAUGGCGAAGGCAGCCCCCAUGG
rnacentral:rRNA from 1 species